CCUACGGGAGGCAGCAGUGGGGAAUAUUGGUCAAUGGCCGAAACCCUGAUCCAGCGACGCCGCGUGAGUGAUGAAGGAUUUCGGGAUGUAAAGCCCUAUUAGCAGGGAAGAAAAUGACGGUACCUGACUAAGAAGCCCCGGCUAACUACGUGCCAGCAGCCGCGGUAAUACGUAGGGAGCAAGCGUUAUCCGGAUUUACUGGGCGUAAAGCGAGCGUAGAGGGGGUAGCAAGUCUGAUGUGAAAGGUCGGGGCCCAACCCCUGUACUGCAUUUGAAACUGUUUAACUGGAGUACAGGAGAGGUAAGCGGAAUUCCUGGUGUAGCGGUGAAAUGCGUAGAUAUCAGGAGGAACACCAGUGGCGAAGGCGGCGUACUGGACUGUAACUGACGUUGAGGCGCGAAAGCGUGGGUAGCAAACAGGAUUAGAUACCCGAGUAGUC
rnacentral:rRNA from 1 species